CCUACGGGUGGCAGCAGUGAGGAAUUUUGGUCAAUGGGCGCAAGCCUGAACCAGCCAAGUAGCGUGAAGGAUGACUGCCCUACGGGUUGUAAACUUCUUUUAUAAAGGAAUAAAGUGAGGCACGUGUGCCUUUUUGUAUGUACUUUAUGAAUAAGGAUCGGCUACCUCCGUGCCAGCCGCCGCGGUAAUACGGAGGGUCCGAGCGUUAUCCGGAUUUAUUGGGUUUAAAGGGAGCGUAGAUGGGUUGUUAAGUCAGUUGUGAAAGUUUGCGGCUCAACCGUAAAAUUGCAAUUGAUACUGGUAGCCUGGAGUACAGUUGAGGUAGGCGGAAUUCGUGGUGUAGCGGUGAAAUGCUUAGAUAUCACGAAGAACGCCGAUUGCGAAGGCAGCUUACUAAACUGCCACUGACAUUGAUGCUCGAAAGCGUGGGUAGCAAACAGGAUUAGAUACCCGUGUAGUC
rnacentral:rRNA from 1 species